rnacentral:snRNA from 1 species
AUACUUGCUUCAGCAGUACAUAUCUACAAAUUGGAAUAUGCGGAGAAGAUUAGCAUUGCCUCUGAGCAAGGAUGACUUGCGCAUUCUUGACACUUUCAUGUUUUUA